GUAACAUAGCUCAGCCCGGGCCCCCAAUCGCUCUACCCGAUGCACUUCAGCUGCUAAGAAGGAAGUUCAAGGACUCACCUGGGUCCGUUGCUUAGCAACAGGAGGCUGUAAAUGACAUUGCUCUUGACACUUUAACUUAGCCCUCCAUGGCAAGCAGAGGAUAAUGAAGGCCUAGGCAGACAGCAAGACAGAAUUCAAAACCAGCGGCGAGCAAGUACAGGAGAAAGCAGGGUCACACAGGAGCCGUGGAAACAGGAGGUUGGCUAAUCUAGUCGGCCAAUUCACUCCAGGAGACUCCUGUCCUGGCCUAUCCGAGUCCUGGGAUUACAGUGCAAGUACAUCCCUGACAUCCCCUAGGACACACUUACAAUAAAAUCGUCAUGAUGUUUACCUGACACUCAAA